rnacentral:rRNA from 1 species
AACUAACGCUGGCGGCGUGCCUAACACAUGCAAGUCGUACGAGAAAGUCGGCUUCGGCUGAUGAGUAAAGUGGCGCACGGGUGAGUAACGCGUGGAUAAUCUGCCUUUUAGUUGGGAAUAACGUACCGAAAGGUGCGCUAAUACCGGAUAAUACUGCAUAACUACUGUUGUGUAGUCAAAGAAGGCCUCUGUUUACAAGCUUUUGCUGAAAGAUGAGUCCGCGUACCAUUAGCUAGUUGGUAGGGUAAUGGCCUACCAAGGCUACGAUGGUUAGCUGGUCUGAGAGGAUGAUCAGCCACACUGGAACUGAGACACGGUCCAGACUCCUACGGGAGGCAGCAGUGAGGAAUAUUGCGCAAUGGGGGCAACCCUGACGCAGCAACGCCGCGUGAGUGAGGAAGGUUUUCGGACCGUAAAGCUCUGUCGAGCGGGAAGAAAUGUAUCGUGGCUAAUAUCCAUGAUAUUUGACGGUACCGCUAAAGGAAGCACCGGCUAACUCCGUG